UUGGGUGGACAAUAAACCGCUGCA
rnacentral:siRNA from 1 species